rnacentral:rRNA from 1 species
GAUGAACGCUGGCGGCGUGCCUAAUACAUGCAAGUCGAGCGAACAGACGAGGAGCUUGCUCCUCUGACGUUAGCGGCGGACGGGUGAGUAACACGUGGAUAACCUACCUAUAAGACUGGGAUAACUUCGGGAAACCGGAGCUAAUACCGGAUAAUAUAUUGAACCGCAUGGUUCAAUAGUGAAAGACGGUUUUGCUGUCACUUAUAGAUGGAUCCGCGCUGGAUUAGCUAGUUGGUAAGGUAACGGCUUACCAAGGCAACGAUGCGUAGCCGACCUGAGAGGGUGAUCGGCCACACUGGAACUGAGACACGGUCCAGACUCCUACGGGAGGCAGCAGUAGGGAAUCUUCCGCAAUGGGCGAAAGCUUGACGGAGCAACGCCGCGUGAGUGAUGAAGGUCUUCGGAUCGUAAAACUCUGUUAUUAGGGAAGAAAAAAUGUGUAAGUAACUAUGCACGUCUUGACGGUACCUAAUCAGAAAGCCACGGCUAACUACGUG